GCUUAACACAUGCAAGUCGAGCGAGAAUCGUUUUGCUGAAGGCUUCGGUCUGACGCAGAAUGAGGAAAGCGGCGAACGGGUGAGUAACGCGUGGGCAACCUGGCCUUAAGAAAAGGAUAGCCCCCGGAAACGGGGAGUAAUACUUUAUGAGAAUGAAAGAGGGCAUCCUACUUUCAUUCAAAGCGCAAGCGCUUAAGGAUGGGCCCGCGUAUCAUUAGCUAGUUGGUGAGAUAACAGCCCACCAAGGCAACGAUGGUUAGCCGGUCUGAGAGGGCGAACGGCCACAUUGGAACUGAGAGACGGUCCAAACUCCUACGGGAGGCAGCAGUGGGGAAUAUUGCGCAAUGGAGAAGAACUCUGACGCAGCAAUACCGCGUGAGCGAAGAAGGUCUUCGGAUCGUAAAGCUCUGUUAUCAGGGAAGAAGAAAAUGACGGUACCUGAUGAGCAAGUCCCGGCUAACUACGUGCCAGCCGCCGCGGUAACAC
rnacentral:rRNA from 1 species